rnacentral:rRNA from 2 species
UNNCNNNUNGGGCCGGCCUAAAACAUGCAAGUCGAGCGGAUGAAGAGAGCUUGCUCUCUGAUUCAGCGGCGGACGGGUGAGUAAUGCCUAGGAAUCUGCCUAUUAGUGGGGGACAACGUUUCGAAAGGAACGCUAAUACCGCAUACGUCCUACGGGAGAAAGCAGGGGACCUUCGGGCCUUGCGCUAAUAGAUGAGCCUAGGUCGGAUUAGCUAGUUGGUGAGGUAAAGGCUCACCAAGGCGACGAUCCGUAACUGGUCUGAGAGGAUGAUCAGUCACACUGGAACUGAGACACGGUCCAGACUCCUACGGGAGGCAGCAGUGGGGAAUAUUGGACAAUGGGCGAAAGCCUUAUCCAGCCAUGCCGCGUGUGUGAANAAUCUCUUCCGAUUGUAAAGCCCUU